UGGGGAAUUUUGGACAAUGGGGGAAACCCUGAUCCAGCCAUCCCGCGUGUGCGAUGAAGGCCUUCGGGUUGUAAAGCACUUUUGGCAGGAAAGAAACGUCAUGGGUUAAUACCCCGUGAAACUGACGGUACCUGCAGAAUAAGCACCGGCUAACUACGUGCCAGCAGCCGCGGUAAUACGUAGGGUGCAAGCGUUAAUCGGAAUUACUGGGCGUAAAGCGUGCGCAGGCGGUUCGGAAAGAAAGAUGUGAAAUCCCAGAGCUCAACUUUGGAACUGCAUUUUUAACUACCGGGCUAGGGUGUGUCAGAGGGAGGUGGAAUUCCGCGUGUAGCAGUGAAAUGCGUAGAUAUGCGGAGGAACACCGAUGGCGAAGGCAGCCUCCUGGGAUAACACUGACGCUAAUGCACGAAAGCGUGGGGAGCAAACAGG
rnacentral:rRNA from 1 species